GACGAACGCUGGUGGCGUGCUUAACACAUGCAAGUCGAACGGAGUGGCGAACGGGUGAGUGACACGUGGGUGAUCUGCCUUGCACUUCGGGAUAAGCUUGGGAAACUGGGUCUAAUACCGGAUAGUGCAAGAUGAGUUCGCGGCCUAUCAGCUUGUUGGGGGGGUAAUGGCCUACCAAGGCGUCGACGGGUAGCCGGCCUGAGAGGGUGUACGGCCACAUGGGGCCUGAGUGACGGACCAGACGCCGACGGGAGGCAGCAGUGGGGAAUCUUGCACAAGGGGCGGACGUCUGAGGCAGCGACGCCGCGUGGGGGAUGAAGGCCUUCGGGUGGUAAACUUCUUUCGACAGGGACGCGGUACCUGUAUAAGAAGCACCGGCUAACUACGUGCCAGCCGCCGCGGUAAUUC
rnacentral:rRNA from 1 species